rnacentral:rRNA from 1 species
UUCGCUCAGACGAACGCUGGCGGCGUGCUUAACACAUGCAAGUCGAACGAUGAAGCCCUUCGGGGUGGAUUAGUGGCGAACGGGUGAGUAACACGUGGGCAAUCUGCCCUUCACUCUGGGACAAGCCCUGGAAACGGGGUCUAAUACCGGAUAAUACCUGCCUGGGCAUCUGGGUGGGUUAAAAGCUCCGGCGGUGAAGGAUGAGCCCGCGGCCUAUCAGCUUGUUGGUGAGGUAGUGGCUCACCAAGGCGACGACGGGUAGCCGGCCUGAGAGGGCGACCGGCCACACUGGGACUGAGACACGGCCCAGACUCCUACGGGAGGCAGCAGUGGGGAAUAUUGCACAAUGGGCGAAAGCCUGAUGCAGCGACGCCGCGUGAGGGAUGACGGCCUUCGGGUUGUAAACCUCUUUCAGCAGGGAAGAAGCGAGAGUGACGGUACCUGCAGAAGAAGCGCCGGCUAACUACGUGCCAGCAGCCGCGGUAAUACGUAGGGCGCAAGCGUUGUCCGGAAUUAUUGGGCGUAAAGAGCUCGUAGGCGGCUUGUCACGUCGGGUGUGAAAGCCCGGGGCUUAACCCCGGGUCUGCAUUCGAUACGGGCUAGCUAGAGUGUGGUAGGGGAGAUCGGAAUUCCUGGUGUAGCGGUGAAAUGCGCAGAUAUCAGGAGGAACACCGGUGGCGAAGGCGGAUCUCUGGGCCAUUACUGACGCUGAGGAGCGAAAGCGUGGGGAGCGAACAGGAUUAGAUACCCUGGUAGUCCACGCCGUAAACGGUGGGAACUAGGUGUUGGCGACAUUCCACGUCGUCGGUGCCGCAGCUAACGCAUUAAGUCCCCGC